rnacentral:lncRNA from 1 species
UGAAUGAAGUCCUCGACAUGUCAGACGAUGAAGUUGGUAAAGCCAGCGCCCCCGAAAAGCUCAGUGAUGGGGAAUAUAUCUCAGAUGGUGAAGAAGGUAUUUGCACCUCUCUCUUGCAAUGAGACUUAUCUCCCCACUCCAACUCUCAUUUCUUAUCUCUGAAAAGUAACGCUUCCUCGAGUUACUAACUUCUCAGUCAUCACGGGAAUUAAUUUGGGGGUCAUUUAAAGGCUCGCCUGGGGUCUAUCUAUCCUCUUGCAGACCUGAUUUCUUAAGCCCACUUCCCACCAUGACGCAGAAAAUAAUGUCACUAAUUGUAACGGUUACCCUGUCUGCUGUCACUAUCGAGCAGAAAACUGAAGCUUUAUUGUUCAUGUCUGAAUCUAAAAAGGGGCAGCUUACUGUCUAUAGUUGUCUCGUUUGGUUUUUUCCUUAGUAUAGAAGGCUUCCUUACAGGUUGUGGGGCGAAGGCCCACUCGGUAGUGCGCUUUCUACAGUAAAAUCAGGUUUUGACCUUGGGACUAAGCACAAGAAUUCAACCUAAGUAAAACCACCCUUAACUCUGGACUUGCAACAGGGACUUGAUAAAGAGACUGACAUACAAUACAGCUGUUUGUCACAUGCUCAAUAAAGCUAAUGUUUUCUGCUUCAUUCAAAAGAA